GAUGAACGCUGGCGGCGUGCUUAACACAUGCAAGUCGAACGAUGAAGCCCAGCUUGCUGGGUGGAUUAGUGGCGAACGGGUGAGUAACACGUGAGCAACCUGCCCCUGACUCUGGGAUAAGCGCUGGAAACGGCGUCUAAUACUGGAUAUGUCCCGUCACCGCAUGGUGUGCGGGUGGAAAGAUUUUUCGGUUGGGGAUGGGCUCGCGGCCUAUCAGCUUGUUGGUGAGGUAAUGGCUCACCAAGGCGUCGACGGGUAGCCGGCCUGAGAGGGUGGCCGGCCACACUGGGACUGAGACACGGCCCAGACUCCUACGGGAGGCAGCAGUGGGGAAUAUUGCACAAUGGGCGGAAGCCUGAUGCAGCAACGCCGCGUGAGGGAUGACAGCCUUCGGGUUGUAAACCUCUUUUAGCAGGGAAGAAGCGAAAGUGACGGUACCUGCAGAAAAAGCACCGGCUAACUACGU
rnacentral:rRNA from 1 species